rnacentral:tRNA from 1 species
CUGUUAGCUCAAUUGGAUAGAGCAUCUGACUUCGGAUCAGAAGGCUAGAGGUUCAAGUCCUCUACGG